rnacentral:rRNA from 1 species
AUACGUAGGGGGCAAGCGUUAUCCGGAUUUACUGGGUGUAAAGGGAGCGUAGACGGAAGGCCAAGUCUGAUGUGAAAGCCCGCGGCUCAACUGCGGGACUGCAUUGGAAACUGGUCAUCUGGAGUGCAGGAGGGGUAAGCGGAAUUCCUAGUGUAGCGGUGAAAUGCGUAGAUAUUAGGAGGAACACCGGUGGCGAAGGCGGCUUACUGGACUGCAACUGACGCUGAGGCGCGAAAGCGUGGGGAGCAAACAGGAUUAGAUACCCUGGUAGUCCACGCUGUAAACGAUGAAUACUAGGUGUGGGGGGACUGACCCCCUCCGUGCCGCAGUUAACACAAUAAGUAUUCCACCUGGGGAGUACGAUCGCAAGAUUGAAACUCAAAGGAAUUGACGGGG